UUUGAAUGUGUUUGCUGCACACAGUGGCCCGUGGAUCGCCAGCAGGAUAAAAUGCUGCCACUCGAUUCUGCAGAUUUGUUGUUUCGUGUAAGGGGAGGAAUUAAUCUGGGUGGAUUCGUGAGCAAAACAGAUGGCUCCCUCCCCCACCUUGGGAAACAUCCUUUCAUCUGCUCUGUAUGGGCCUUUCAACAUCCGGUGUUCUCUACCCAUGGAACAUGACAGUGGUGUACUUGUCACGUGACAGGUGUUGAAGCUAUACUGGACUUGAGGUAAUAGUCUUGCGAUGGUGGAGUGAUGUCAUUUUCCCACCAGUAGAGGUCAUGUGACAGGUUUUUUUUUACAGGGUAUAAAAGGAGGACCCCUCCCUGUGAGGAGGGGCAGUUUGUGGCUGGAUUUGCCAUGUUGACUUCAUGCCAUUGCGUGAUUUAAUGUUAUGACGCAGUUUAGUUGAAAGAUGGAGUUUUAGUUAAUGCCUAAAGUUUAAAAGGUCAUUGCCAGCAGUUUGUUUAUAAUACUGCUAGUUGAGAAUUAGUGGAGAGUGAAGAUCGAAGUUUGGGUGUUCAAAGAUCGAGGAAAAUCGAUUUCGACGGUGAAACGUGUUCGACCUUGUUUGAUCCUCAUUUGGAAGGAAUUUGUCGACUAUGCUCGUGUUAAUCCCUGUGAAUAGCAGAAAGGAUUAAGUACAGUUUUGUAAAGGAAAGGUCAGUGCCUUUAAGCCAUUUCAAUUUUCACCUUCGUAAAAUUCUUCGUGGGAAAAGUAGUUCGACUGGGAAUCGCAACAAGACGACGUGAAAGAGAAUUUAAAUCGUCUUAAAAAGUCUCUGCCUUAAAUGGACUGUAAGAAUUUUGAACUUUUGCAAUACUACUUUGAAGAACUGUUUUUGCGACAUCGCUUUAAGAACUGUUUGAGCUUCCUUGCUUUAAGAACUGUUCAAGCUACCGUACAGCAGCUGAUUUCCAGUUACGUUAGUGGUUUGUUUACUUUUGGGGGUUUGUUUUUCAGUGUUUAAUAAAUGUUUUAUUUGUUAUAAAAACCCCUGCCUCACUCAUAUAUUUAUUGUUGCUGAGUCUGUAACACCGGAGUGAUUCAAUAAGAUCCACCCUCAUCCUUCUAAAUUCCAGCAAGUACAAGCCCAGAAUGAUCAAACGUUCCAGAUAUGAUAAACCUUUCAUUCCUGUAAUCAUCUUUGUGAGCCUCCUCUGAAACCUCUCCAAUGCCAGCACAUUUUUUCUCAGAAAAGGAACCCAAAACUGUUCACAGUACUCAUGGUGAGGCCUCACCAGUGCCUUAUAAAGCCUCAGUAUCACAUCCCUGCUCUUGUAUUCUAGAUCUCUUGAAAUGAAUGCUAACAUUGUAUUUGCCUUUCUCACCACCGACUUUACCUGCAAGUUAACCUUUGGGUAUUCUACACAAGGACUCUCACCUUUGCAUCUCAUAAAAUUUUUGAUUUUCUCCCUGUUUUAAAAAAAAUAUAUAGUCUGCACAUUUAUUUCUCUUACCAAAGCACAUGUCCAUACACAUUCCAAUGUUGUACUUCAUUUGCCACUUUUUUGGCCACUUUCCUAAUCUGUUUAAGUCCUUCUGCAGCCUACCUGUUUCCUCAACACUACCUGCCCCUCCACCAAUCAUAUCAUCUGCAAACUUGGUGACAAAACCAUCUAUUCCAUCAUGUAAAUCAUUGAUAUACUGCUUAAAAAGAAGUGGUCCCAACACUGACCCCUGUGGAACACCAUUAGUCACUGACAGAAAAGGAGCCUUUUAUUCCCACUCACUGCCUCCUACCAGACAGGCAAUGCUCCAACCAUGCUAGUAACUUUCUUGUAAUACCAUGGGUCUUAACUUGGUAAGCAGCCCCAUGUGUGGCACCAUGACAAAGGCGUUCUGAAAGUCCAAAUAUCCAACAUCCACUGCAUCCCCUUUAUCUAUCCUACUUGUAAUCUCCUCAAAGAAUUCCAAUAGGUUCAUCAGACAAGAUUUUUCCUUAAGGAAACCAUACUGACUUUGUCCUAACUUGUCCUGUGUAACCAAGUACUCCAUAACCUCAUCCUUAACAAUUGACUCCAUCAUCUUCCCAACCACUGAAGUCAGGCUAACUGACCUACAAUUUACUUUCUGCUGCCUUCCUCCUUUCUUAAAGAGUGGACUGAUAUUUGCAGUUUUCCAGUCCUCUGGUACCGUACCAGAGUCCAAUAAUUUUUGAAAGAUUGUUUCUAAUGCCGCCACAUUCUCUAACACUACCUCUUUCAGAAUUGUAGGGUGCAGAUCAGCUGGUCCGGGUGAUUUAUGUACCCCUAGGUCUUUCAGCUAUUUGAGCACCUUCUCACUUGUAACUGCACUCGCUUCUCUUCCCUCACAUCAUUCAACACCUGGUACACUGUUGUCUUCCACAGUGAAGACUGAAGCAAAAGACUCAUAUUGUUCAUCUGCCAUCUCCUUGUCCACAGUUAUUAUUCCUCCGGUCUCAUUUUCUAGUGGUCCAUAUCCAUUCUCAUCUUUCUUAUUUUUUAUAUACUUAAAAAAAAAAGCUUUUUCUGUCCACCUUGAUAUUGUUUGCUAGCUUGCUUUCAUAUUUCAUCUUUUCCCUCCUAAUGAUUCUUUUGGUUGCUUUCUGUAGGUUUUUAAAACCUUUACAAUCUUCCAUCAUCCUGCUAAUUUUUGCUUUGUUGUAUGCCCUCUGUUUUGCUUUUAUGCUAGCUUUGACUUCCUUGACAUCCAUUGAGUAUUUCUUUGUUUUUUGAGUACAUCUAUCCUGCACCUUCCUUGUUUUUGCCAGACAAGACACGACGACUAACCAGUCCCUUGCCUCCCCAUGCCACCUGCUUGCAUGAACAUUCGAUCCUGGGACACAAUGAUUGGAUGAAUCUGACAACAAUAGAUGUCCUUCAUCAACUAUUCACAUCACUGGCUUUUUAGUGUGGAGCAAAGGCCUGAACUGCAGAUGUACUGAUCACCUAUCAAUGUCGCUAGACUUUGAAAGUGAAGUGGAGGCCUAAACUCUAACUCCUGUAUUCCUGUCCCUAAACCCCAACCUGUCCUCUCUUUCCACUCUUUGUCCCUGGAAUCAUCCCUACAAACUUAAAAAAAACAAUUAAGUUCUAGCCACGAUUUCAACCUUAACAUGCGCAUCAUACAAUGGAACAGACUUAUCAGGAGUAAACUGGAAUAGUAUUGAAGUAAUGAAAAGCUAAAUAAUGGUUUUAGCAGAAACCAAUAGGUUUCGUCAUGAAAAUGAGGAUUUGUUAUCAAAGAGGCAUUUAAUAAUUAGUGUAAUUAUGUGGUUCAAAUGUUAGUUUAAGAUUGCAUAAGGUAACAACUGAAAAACAGUUUGCUUCAGCCUCAAACUCUGAUAGGGAGGAGAAUGGACUUGGAGUUCGUGGUGGGGUCAGGAGGUCUGUGCCUUGGCAGCCACAUUUUUGAUUACUUAAUAUCCAUUAGUGGAUGAGAGAUGAGCAGACUUGAUAGGGCAGGCUUAAGGGAGGUGGUGAGAGAGAACUCGGUGAAGUCUUGUCAGAAAUGCAGAAACUUUCAUUGCUUUUUCAUUGUCAUUGAGGGCAGACUGUUGAGAAGGAAUAGCUGGAAUGAAGGUCCUUGGGGGAAAACAGAGGUAAUAGCUUUGGAGAUGGAUGCAAAGACAUUGUGAAUGUUUUCAUUUUUUGGAUAUAGUUGGAUAGCUAAGUGCAAGGCAUAAGCACUUUUGCCCUGCUAGAUAAUCCAGAGGAUGCUAUGUCAACUAUGUAAUUGUAUAACUAAAUUUUAAGUAUGAAUAUUGGGAUUUACAG